CACGUAGGGGGCGAGCGUUGUCCGGAUUUAUUGGGCGUAAAGAGCUCGUAGGCGGCUCAGUAAGUCGGGUGUGAAAACUCCAGGCUCAACCUGGAGACGCCACCCGAUACUGCUGUGGCUAGAGUCCGGUAGGGGAGCAUGGAAUUCCUGGUGUAGCGGUGAAAUGCGCAGAUAUCAGGAGGAACACCAGUGGCGAAGGCGGUGCUCUGGGCCGGAACUGACGCUGAGGAGCGAAAGCAUGGGGAGCGAACAGG
rnacentral:rRNA from 1 species